rnacentral:ncRNA from 1 species
UGGCGGAAGUUACUUCGGUCCCCAUCCGAUCGCCAAUCAAGGGGGGAUAUAAUUUGGCUAUAUGCUGGAACACCUGCCAAAUUCCGCGGUACGCGUAAGCGUAAAAAUCUGCGGACUAUGCAGGCAAUCAGCAGGCAACCUCCGACGUUAUAUCGGAGAGAGUCCUCAACGACUAUACGCCAAACCUGCUUUUUCGAAAAAAGCAGUGAAGAUAUAGUCUGAUCUCUAUGGCGACAUAGAG